UACGUAGGGUGCGAGCGUUAAUCGGAAUUACUGGGCGUAAAGCGUGCGCAGGCGGUUUUGUAAGCCAGAUGUGAAAUCCCCGGGCUUAACCUGGGAAUGGCAUUUGGGACUGCAAGGCUUGAGUGUGGCAGAGGAGACUGGAACUCCUGGUGUAGCAGUGAAAUGCGUAGAUAUCAGGAGGAACACCGAUGGCGAAGGCAGGUCUCUGGGCUAACACUGACGCUCAUGCACGAAAGCGUGGGGAGCAAACAGG
rnacentral:rRNA from 1 species